ensembl:lncRNA
CAAAUUAAUAAUAAUGCUAACGCUACAAGGUGGGUUUAAUUCAAACUUCUUUAUUAAAAGAUUCCUCACCAAUCAUAAGCAAGAGUAGCAACUGUUCAGUCUGUAAACAUACAGUACGCUGCAGCUCUCCAUUCACUAACUCUAAUUCACUUCAUUUAAACUCACGGUUGCCAGAUAUCACUAGAAAAGUCAACUCCAGUUUCCAUGUUUUCAUUUUUCCCCCCAAAACCCAAUAUUAUCAGCAGACAUGGACACUGUACUGGGGGAACCGAUCUAAAACUGAUAAACAAACAAAAAUAAAACUAUUAAAAUGUAAAGACAGAAAAUGUGCUUAAUUAUAAAUAAAUCAUUUAAUGAUAUUAUAAUAACUUAAUAAAAUAUAGAUAAAAUGAGAAAUGAAAUAAUGUUUAAUUACUAUGGGUUGCAUUUAAUAUCAAUUUGACAUUUAGCUUAGUUCGCUAUCUCCAUAGAAAGCUAUUAGCCUUUUUCCUAAAUAUGGAUUAUUUUUGUGUUUGUCUACUUUUAAUUAGGACUCUUUAUUGUUUAAGAUAUUUAAAAAUAAAUAUUUUAUGCUUGUUUAUUUAUCAAUUUACCAUCAGUAUCUCAUUGCUAUUAUUUUAAAUCAAUUAACAGUGACCAUGAGCAGAGAGCUUACAUUUAACUGUUUAUGAUAGACUUCCUGAUUAAAGUGUAAAAAAAAGAUUCUGAAUCGGUAUCUGAAUCGGUAUCGGCUGUAAAAAUCCUGAUCAGAAUAUUAGUAAUGAACACCAUUAUACUAAAGCUCUUUGCAUCUGAUGGGUAAAUGAACUCACCCAAUCACAUCCUAUAUGAGAUUAUUCAGAUAUAUACACAAUAUACACAGAGUGGUUUGAGAACUGGCUCCAGCCCAGAACCAUGACAGUGGAAAAUGUCUAAUAGUGUAGCUUUAAAUGUAUUUAAGAGGAGCCAACUUCAAACACUGAACAUUGAUUUUAUUGUAUUUGUUUACAAGGUGGAACAGGUUAACGGUUGUUUUUUUGCACACAGUCUGAAUAAUUAACUGAAAAUAUUACAUUUAGUUUAUCAGAAGGUAAAUUAAUUUGUCAUGGCUCACACUCUGUUCCUAAAUUCUGUCAUAAUUGACCAGCUCAAGUUUUCCCAUGCCUACUUGUGUGUUAUUUUGUGACAUGAGAAAACUUAAUAAAUGUGAAAGUGCAAUAAAAAUAUGUUGUCACUAAAAUCAAUUAAUAAUUGUGAUAAAUAAUCGAGAUCUCAAUAUUGAUCAAAAUUAUCAAGAUUAUCAUUUUGGCCAUAAUCGUGCAGCCCUAUUAUAUGUACAGUUUUUAUAAUAUUUUGUUAUUGUUUUCCUCGAGCCAGAGGUAGCGCGGAUGAGAGAAAUGUUGGAAUGCUAGUUAGCUAAUAGGCUCGAGCUUUUCAUGAAUAAAAGAGAGAAGGCUCUUCCCUUCAACAUAGACUCUUGUUGUAUAGUUUUGCAGGUGAUGGCCUGUGGAGAUUUAAGUGGUUUAAUUAACUCAAAAGGUAAGUAAAACAGUCAUGGUUAAAAUUAGACACAUACGUCAGUUGUAGGCAUAGAAAAGUCCUCGGGUCUGAGUACCGCAACAUUGUUUAGACGCAAACUGCUUUCAUGAGCAAGUCCGAAGUCCACCUUUCUCCAGUUCUCAUAGCGCUCCACAAUAAACACACUCGAACUCUUACACCGCUGAAACAAACACCUCUGACCCAUUUGAAUGCCUCUCUCAUCUACUACAUCUGUAGGAAUGCACAAUGUGCUGUCAUGACUAAUUAAGAGACAGCAUCUUCUCAUAGAAUAAGAACAUGCAGACUUAUGAAUAAUUGAGAUCCCGACAAGUCAUUGAAGUACUGUAGUGCAUUGUCACGCCACUGCCUGUAACCGAAAUUUUAAACCAGGAAGUUGAAAAUAGCGGACAAAAGUUCAAAAUUGACCAGCUAUCUCCUACAAUUAAAAUUAACAGAUGCUAAGAACACCUUUGUUAAAAUCUCAGAAAAUGUAGUAUAGUGUUUCAUGACGCUUUAACCUCAUUACAGUUAUUGCUCUCAUAAAAAAUACAAUUACUUUUGUUUCUAAGUAUAGCUGAAUAUAGCAUCAAACAACAUAUUUGAUGAAAAUUAAUAUUUUAGUCAAAAUUAUUGUGCCUCCUUUCUAUUGCGCGCUCUUUGACGUGCAUACGUGGACUCGUGCUCAUUCAGUGAAGUUUAAUGGUGACUGUCUUGCUGUCAGGAUGAGCCUUUAUUUAAAAUGGAAAUCCUGGCAUGAAUUUCUAACUUUUACAGAUAAGGAUAUAAAGGUAAAUAUGUAAUUACUGCGGUGAAGAAAACAUGUCUGGAGCACAAACAGCACAUGCAUCUGACACGACAAGCCAUGUUAAUACUCUUACGAGUUUGUUUGAAGCGCUUAAUAUAAAACAUUCUCAUGUUUUGGACAACCUGGAUCGUGCACUUUUCCCUGAGUAGCUCGCUCCGUGACCUCUGCUGUUUUUCAAAUGUGUUUUAUUGAUAGAAAUGCUUAUUUCACCAUUGUGAAGUGACGUCACUGACUGAGGUUAUCCACAGUGAUGUCACAGACCCAACUAAUCCAUAAUGAAAUUUGUUGUUGAUUAUUUUUAAUAUCGAUUUUAUUGAUUAGUUGUUGUAGCUCUACAUCAGUCUAUAGUUGUUGAAGGAAAAGUCUUGAACUUAAGUCUCAAUCCCAUUUCUGUUUUUAAAAAGAAUGUAAUUUUAUGUCGCUGUCUUCUACACCUGCACACACACAUGCAGGCCACGCUUACAACUGCUCCUUUACUAUGAGGCCUUUGGGAGGUCAGAGUCCAUGACCCUCAUACUGCUGAACAUGUAGCAUGUGUGUGCUUGUGUGCUCUAUGCUUGUAUGUGUUUUUAUAUUUGUCAUUUACUGUAAGCAAGUGUUUUAAUGUGUAGUACACAGAUAAUGUGCAUGUGCAGACAGUGAACUGAUCUCCAUGAGCAUUCCAGGUAUUCUGAUUUAUUCUUCUCAUAGCUCCACUGAGCUCCAGUGUUCAAGCUGUGAUGCAUGACAUACAACUGCUCUUCUUGGCCACAUCUUUCACACACUGACCCAUUUAUUUUUGUUAUGCCACCACAUGGGCUGCCAUAGAGGAGUCAUAUUCACUUUUAAAAUAGCUCAGUGGCAGGCCAGUAUUAGGUGGUGGUGGUGGUAACCAUCAAAGUGUUUUCAGAAUAUGGGUGGGAAAAAAUCUCCAUUAUUUUGAUAUGGUGAUUUCUUGAAUGCCCAAUCUAACAGGUUUGUUAAAGCUUGGCUCUGUAGCACUAAUUGUGUUUUUGAAUCCUGCAUUCUUCGCUUGCCUACGUAUAUCAACUUCCCAGUUGGCAGUGAGCAAGGCCUUUCCUCACUUUCAGUUACAGGCUUUGUUCACUGCCAACUGGGAAGUUGAAACUGAUUUAAAUUAAACAAGUUAAAGGCUGAUUCACCUACAGUGCCCUCCACUAAUAUUGGCACCCAUGGUAAAUAUGAGCAAAGAAGGAUGUGAAAAUUUGUCUUUAUUGUUUAACCUUUUGAUCUUUUGUUCAUAAAAUUCACAAAAAUACUCUGUUGGAUAUCAAACAAUUGCAAACAAAACACAGGUUUAUCAAAAAAAUCUUUGUUAAAUAUGUGUGCAACAAUUAUUGGCACCCUUUUAGCCAAUAUUUUCUGCUACCUCCCUUUGCCGAGAUAACAGCUCUGAGCCUUCUCCUAUAAUGCCUGAUGUGGUUAGAGAUGUUCUUGCUACAUGACAGUGGAUCUGAGACCAUUCCUCCAUACAGAAUCACUCCAGAUCCUUCAAAUUUUGAGUUCCAGGCUGAUGGACUCUCUUCAGUUCACCCUACAGGUUUUCUAUGGGUUUCAAGUCAGGGGACUGGGAUGGCUAUGGCAGCAUCUUGGUUUACUGACCACAAAAAUAAUUUUUGUGUUGAUUUUGAUGUAUGUUUUGGAUCAUUGUCCAGCUGGAAGAUCCACCCAUGGCCCAUUUUAAGCUUUCUGGCAGAGGCAGUCUGGUUUUCAUUUAAUAUCUGUUGAUAUUUGAUAGGGUCCAUGAUGCCAUGUAUCCUAACAAAAUGUGCAGGUCCUCUGGCAGGAAAACAGCCCCAAAAGAUUAAAGAGCCACCACCAUAUUUAACCAUGGGCAUGAAGUACUUUUCCAUAUGGAUGAGUAGAUGAUGUAGGAGACUUCAGAUUGUAGUUUUGGAGACUUUCUGACCCCAAGACCAACUGACUUUUGCAAUUCUCCAGCUGUGAUCCUUGGAGAUCCAUUGAGACAAUAUAGACACAUGUCCAAUUCCAGGUUGAUUCAUAACAUUUCCAGUUGACAGGUGGAAAUGAGCAUUUUCAGUGCUUGCACUGUUUUCUUAUAGCCACUUCCCUUUUUGUGAAGCUCAACAACCUUUUGUUGCACAUCACAGCUUUAUUCCUUGGUCUUACCCAUUGUUAUGAAUGACUAAGGGAUUUUGGCCUAUGUGUUACCGCAUAUUUAUACCCCUGUGAAACAGGAAGUCAUGGUUGAACAAUUUCUUGUUCCUUAUCACCCAGGUGUACUAAAAAAAAAAAAUUAAAUAUCAAUGGGAAUAUACUUCAAAUAUAUUCUUCUCAAAUAUGUUCUCAAAUUAAUUGUGUAUUAGUGGAGGGCAUUGUACUUAUUUUUUCACAUGCCUAUGUGUGUUUAGGUUGCAUUUGGUUGCGUUAAAUAACCCGCCAGUAAAGCGCUUCAGUUUACUGGUGUUCAUUCACUGUUCAGCUUCAGCUCACGCAGCUUAGCGGGUCAAUCCCCAACAUUAUUGAUUAUGACUUGAUUAUUUGAAACACUAGAACUAUUCUUUCUAGAUUUUUCUUCUUCGAAAAACAUUAAUAUCUUGCAUGUCAUUUUAUUAAAACAGUGUUUGAUGCUGCACAUCUUAAAUUUGAACGCACAAUUUUUGCUUUUGAAUGCACAUUUUUAUCUUAAAUUUGAACGCACAAUUUUUGCUUUUGAAUGCACAUUUUUAUCUUAAAUUUGACAAAUAUUUGAAGUUCAAAUUUAACUUGACAGCCCUAGAGUAGUCGAGAGAACAGAAGUAGCACAAAUGGCCAAUGUUGGUGACAUUCAUUCUUAUGAAAACAAACGCAUGCAAACACAUUGGGCAGUAUUGAGGUCAGCAAAAAUUAUCGAGGUCAUGUCCAUAUAACUGUACAAUGAGUCGAUACUGUAAUUAUCGUGAUGGGCCUUAACACUGCAUUUGUGAAAGAACCCUAUGAAGUUAAGUUGGAAUGUGGACUUAAUAAAGUUUAAAAAUUUACAACAUCCCACAUUAUUAUGCAGUUUUGAGUAUGUUAUUCGAUAUGCUAACAUCGAAUAACGACGAUACUACACUGUAACAUUAAAACUACCUGCCUAAUAUUGUGUAGGUCCCCCUUGUGAUGCCAGAACAGCUCUGACCCGUUGAGGCAUGGACUCCACAAGACCUCUGAAGAUGUGCUGUGGUAUGUGGCACCAAGUCGUUGGCAGCAGAUCCUUUAAGUCCUGUAAGUUUGGAGGUGGGGCCUCCAUGGAGAGACUUUUUUGUCCAGCACAUCCCACAGAUGUUCGAUUGGAUUGAGUUUGUAUGUGGCAAAGAAACAUACACAUGAAUGCCAGAACUCAAGGUGUCCCAGCAUAACAUUGCCCAGAGCAUCACAAUGCCUCUGCCAGCUUGCUUUCUUCCCAUAGUGCACCCUCUUUGCUCUUCUUUAUUUUAUCCAUGCUCAGUGUGGUGUACACACACUCAAAACACUGAGUCAAUUUUUCUCCAUUUAAACUGGUUGCAAGUGUGAUUUCUAUAUUGCCAGCACCUAUGACUUGCUAAAGGUGAGUUUAAUUACAAAUUAAAGGAACAUCAAAUGAUAGAAAAAUUUUUUUUCUGAAGAUGUUGAAAACGUGGCAAUAAUUUUGUCCAGUCCAUUGUGGAGUUCUGUGUGGAUUGUCUCAGAUUUAUUUAUUUUUUCUCUGCCUUUUUUGUGUUGCUCCAAUACAAAAAAAAAUUAAACAUGAGAAUGCCAAGGUAUUUGUAAUUGCAACAAUAUUCUGGGAGAAGUAGUGCAUUAUCUGACAGAAAUGCAGGGGUACCCAUAUUUUUGUCCAUGACUGUGUGUGCGUGUAAAUGUAUACAGUGAUUGUAGAGGUUUAUUAACAAUCAAAUUGUUGACCUAUUGGUUCACCUUCUGACCCCACAGAACUUGACGAGGCAACUGAUUUCCACUGCACUCUACCCCCUCUUAAAAGAACAAUACUGUUUGAGUUUGUCACGUAUCGUGACGGAGCGGAGAUAGGACGGAUGCAAGUGCAGUAUGAACAGUUGUUUAUUUUAAAAGAGAGACAGGCAGACAAAUCCAAAACGUGAUUCAUAAACGUAAUCCAAAACAGGCGAAGGUCAGGCGAUCGGUAAACAGGCAUACACGGGGUUAAACAUGAAUCAAGGUCGUGGUCACGGAAAACAGGGUCGAUAAACAAAACGAGAAACAUGAACUAGGACGAGGAACUGGGAGCGGAUAAUCCAGCGUGAACUAACUCUUAACAUGGAACGUGACUAUGACUACUAUAAGAACUAAUCUAACUCUACGAUAAUCUUCCACGUUGUGUGCUGGGAGGCGCACGGUAUAUAUGUGGACAUGAUCAGCGUCUAAACUGCUAGCAGCUGAGGGCAAUACAGACACACGUGAAAUCCCAGCCAAUGACAGAACAGGGAGGAGACAUGACAUAAACAAAACACACGUGUCCAGAUGUCACUCCUGUCAACAAUGGAAAAGCAGGUGCUUGCGCAUUCGCGCUUAGAGCACGCUGCUUCAAGGGGAAAUCAUGACAGAGUUAAGGGAAUGGCUCUUUCCUGGCUCAGAUCUGACUGAUCAUUAUCAGUUUGUAGAUUUUAAUGGCAACUUCGCUGUUUUGUAAAAAAUUCAAGUUUAGUGUUUCACACGGCUCUGUUCUAGGCCCAUUGCUCUUAUCUUUAUAUGCUACCUCUUGAAAACAUGAUUUUAUCUUCCACUGCUAUGGUGAUGACACACAGCUUGAUGUUAAUUCUGACAUGACAGAAGUACUUUUACUAGGACCACAUGCAGCUAGAAGAAAGCCUUCUGAUUAUUUAGUAACUCUGGAAUGGCCUUUGUUAUAUCAUGUGCACCUUUGAAAGAUCUUGGUGUGAUUAUUGACUGUAGUGUCUUAUUUGAAGCUCAUAUCUAUAAUACUAGAAUAGGCUUUUUUCCUCUCAGAUAUAUUGCACGAAAAGACACACAAGUUCAUGCUUCUUUUAACUAUUAUCUAUUAGACGAUGGCAUUGCUGACUUGAUGUUCCAGUAGGUGCAUAAACAAGCUCUAGUUAGGAUGCAGCAGCCAGAGUCCUUACUAGAACCAAAAUAAUAUAAUAUAAUCACAACACCGCUUAUCUACACUGCAUUGGCUCCCAGUAAACAUUCUAAUUGAUUAUAAAAUACAACUAAUGACCUAUUAAGCACUGAAUGGUUUCAUACCACAGUACUUGAGCAAACUGGUUUCUUAUGAUCCACUGUGCCUGCUUUGAUCAAAAGGUGCAGGCUCUUUAUUAGUACUUUAGAAUAAUGUAUCUCAGAGCAGGGGUGUAGAGCAUUUUCUUGCAAAGAGCUUCAGUUAUGGAACAGGUUUCUGAUUAGUGUUUGUAAUAAUUUUUUAGAUUUGUUAACAGUAUGGCCACCACAUGCUAGUUAACCCUCUUACCCCGUAUGGCCGAAAAACCGGCUUGCCCGUCUUUUGAUCUAUUCCUGUAAGGACGAUAUACCGGCUUGGUCGUCUAUGCCAAAUACCCGUAAGGCCGAUAUAGCGGCUUUACAGUGUAAACGUUAUCCCCGUAAGGCCGGUGUACCGGCAUUACUCUGCCAUGAUUCCUUACUUAUUUAAUUUAUUUUUUUUAACCCGGAAGGUUGAUCACGUCAUGGCGUCACGACGUGAUUACGUUAUUACGCCGGCAUUACGAUGAAGAUCCAAGCGUGAAUAUUGGUGUAAUAGUAGAAGUGAACUAAAAAUGCCAAAGCGAAAAGCUAUUCGUGUUCCAGCUAAAGUUACACCUACAGUGAACACAGGUACAUCUAAAACAGUGGAAAAAAAAAAAGAAAACUUACACAGGCGAGAGCAAGGAUUCUAGAUAGUGACAGCAGUGAAAGUUCAGGCGAUGUUGAAACCGAAACUAAUAGAGAUGCAAACUCUCCUGAUUCAGACCCUGAUCCGUCUUCAUCUUCAGCAUCAACCAGUACGACUGACACUGCAGGGGUCUGGAGUCAUAACGGGACCAUUUCUGUGCAUUCGUGUAAACAGUACCUGCUGGUCUGAUUAUCACCAGAAACUUGACUUUUGGUGCUAAAAUGCAUUUAUUUAUUUAUUUAUUUAUUUAUUAUUUGCUUGAAUUUAUUCAAAGGCAUUGACCACGCUGAUGCUCGUAUGGUACUUCUAAAGGAGUAUAAGGAUUUUAGCGAGCAUUUUCGUCAUUUCUCUAGUUAAGAAUUGUGCUCUAAGUGGAGUAAAAACACUUAACUGCUUCAUUUUCAAAGUAAUAAUACACAAAUACAUUAUUAUAAGUUGUUUCAAGGCCUAAAAAUGUUCAAAUUAAAAUGUUGAUUUUGGGGCCAAUUUUGGCCUGGGAACUCAGGGUUGGCGUGCUGUUUCUAUGGGGAAUAUAGGGUUGUGGGACAUAAUACUGUGGGAACUAAGGGGUACGAGGGUUAAUACAAGUGGGGCAGCGCUAGCUUACUCAAACAGCUGUAAUUCAUGAUUGAUUGUAUAGAUUCACACCAAACUUGGCAAAGCUGGAGUUAAGAUCAUAUAGCUGUAUCAAAGAAACCGAAAUACUGAUCAAGCUGAAAUUUUGUGUGCUGCAUUGUUCUGUUAAUCUGUGACUGGAUCUUUAAUUAUUACUGCGUUACUUUAAAAACGUGGCUGCCCUUAGCUAUUGUCUUAUCAGCAGGCAUUUCACGCAAUUACCGUUGAGCUGUCAUCACAAAAAUUGUAUGUUCAUCUAUGGUUUCUUUAUUAUUCUGUAUCAUUUGGCAAGAACUGGCAAUUGGGCCUAUAUUUGCUGAGGCUGCUUGGACAUCAUUAUUAUUAGUAUUUUUCUCCCCUAAAAUAAAUCAUGCAGACCAAACCAUAUGUCAUGGAGAAAUUUGGACAAUAGGUGGUACUCCCUAGUCUUACUAGUUGAUCAAGCGAGAUAACCCCAUGCAGCCUUAUGGUAGAGCUAUAGCGCACCAUACUGUAUACUUUUUAGUCUCUAUCUCGAGAACCCUGAGGCCUAGAUCGAAUUUUUUUUGUCUCAUUCCAUGGCUAAUUCCAAUCCAAUUUGCAAUUUAACAAUCAAGUGUAGCCCAUUUAGAUUUAGUUUGCAUAAUUUGCUAAGCCAUUUGUUGCAGACUAGUUCUAAGAUUUGUACAGUUUCUUCCAAAAAAUUAGUGUUAAACUACUCAGCAGAGUAAGAAUCACAAUAAUUAUGAAAAAACACUAACCAAUGUGACUGCCAAUCAAUUAUAUCAAUGUGAAGCCCAAUUUUCUCAAACAGCUGUCCAUGAAACCAUUCAGGCAUAACGUGUGCAAAGAUUGGUAUUGCUCUUAAAAACCUAUUCAUGUUUUUGCUCAUAAAAACAAGCAUAUCUCUUGUGCAAUAAGGUGUAUGUUGAUUUUUUUAAAUUUUCUUAUGCUCAUUUGGCUGAAACCAUAAACAAUUGUUUUUUGUACCUUUGAGUCCUGCCCUCUUAAAUUUUUAACAAUUUGCAUAAUAUACAAAGCCUAUUUUUGUGAAGUCAGUCUAACAUACUGUUGAAUUACUAUGACUGUAUUGGCGUAUUAUUUUUUCAUUUGUUACUUAGGCUUUUUAAUUAAAUGCAUCUUUCUAUCAAAAAACAUUCAGCAGACUGCAUAAUAAAGUAGGCUAUUCAUCAUAAAAUGCAGAUUAUACAUUGCAUGAGGUGAAAUAAACAUAUAAACUUAAUUUGUCCCACACUUCCUCCUCUAAAAAAGUAGUGUCCUUUAGAGGGGGGGCUAUUGGGGUUCUCAUAAGCAUUCUUUCACUACUAAUUCACUAUUACUGUCAAUCACAGCGAUUAUCUUUAGAACAUGGAGAAAGCAGGAUUCAGAAGCAUAUUUGAGCUAUGGCAAGCAAACACCUGGAUGUGAAAGGCCUGUGCUUUAGGCAUGCGCUUCCUGUGAGUCAGACCUGGUAUCCCUGCACACCUGUGCACAGAGCCUACUGUUGAAUUAGCCAGGUUUAAUUUGUAUUAUAUGUGUCUCAUUAUUAAACAGUGUCUCAUUAUUAAGUUUACAUUUUUCUACUUUUAUAUUGUUGAAGGUUUUAAUCAAUUUAAAAUCGAAACCAUUGCUAGUUGAGGCUAUGCUUAUAAGUUUAUAUAUUUGUACGGGCACCAUUAAAAUCCAAUUUGUAAGUGUAUUUUAAUGGUGACCGUGUUAAAAAAAUGCAUGUCUUUUCAUGAAGGAUCAGGAAGCCUAUCACGCACAAUGUCGCAGGACUAGUCUGACCAGUUUCUUAGAAUUAAAUACAUUUGUUACUAAGUAUAGACAAGAAUGCGUUGCAACUUAAACAUGUAAUAUAAAAUAAUACUUGAAUGUACUACAAAUUUUUUCAUUCUAUGGCUUUGAUGCUUUAAAAUCGCCCAGACUGCCAUGGUUUUAUAUUUCAGUUUGAUAUCACACAGGAGGGGGUGGGAUGGGGAGUUAUUUAUCCUUGAGAGGUGAUAUUAGUGGGGGAAGGGGAGAUUCAUUCAUCAGUAAGUAACUGCUGGAAAAUUAGCAGAUUCCUCCUCUUCAAAAACACAAAGAAUUUAUUUGUUGCUGAACCUAAUCCUGAAGUCAGAUUUAACUAAAUCCUCGACAUCCAUUUCUUGUAUUGAUUAAGCUGCUGGCUCGGCUUUCUAUCGUUUUGGUGAUCAUGCCGUUUUUCUACCGUUAAUAUGUGGUGUUCUCAAAAUUAUGCUUUGUUUUCAUAAUGCUAUGACUUUAUUCUCAAUAUAUUAUGAAUUUAUUCUCCUAAUGCAACAACUUUAUUCCCAAAUAAUAUGACCUCAAUUUCGUAAUGUUCCAACUUUAUUUUUUAAAUUUGCCAUUGUAGACGGUCUGCCUACUCUGUGUACAGCCUAUAGCAUACUGUAGUCGCCAGUGUGUCUUUUGAGGUCAGGGGAGUGACGUACCAGCUAGCCUCUGUUACUGUUCAAUGAAAAUGUAAAAUUACUGUCACUAUAACAUUAACAUUAUAAUAAAACAGUGGUCAAAGAUCAGAUCCUUAGCUUUUAAAUAACAUAUUGUCGAUCAAGAUGAGGUAAUUCGUUUAACUGUUCAAUGUAAUGUCACAUUCUUUUACGCCUUUAAGAAUCUGCUCAACGAGUGUGAAGCGACUGCCACCUAAUGGUCUUGUCUCGACAGCGCUGGCUAACUGAGUGACAUACGUCCCGCGGUGUACUGCAGGAUCACGUUCUAUUUCUCAUUCAUUUUUAAUGGCCACAUCUGCACUUCAUAAUAUGGCCACUGUCAGCCAUUAAGCUUUAUGAAGGCAUUUCACAAAAUUAGCUUUGAGCAAUCAUCAAAAAACGUGAUACAUAUGUUCAUGUGUGGGCUCUUUAUUGUUCUAUAUAAGGUAGGAAGUACUGAUGGACCGAAAUGAAAAUUCUUGGCCGAAGCCGAAACCGAAUAUAAUGAAAAACCUGGAAGAAGGCCGAAUACCGAACACGUUUUUUUGACGUUUUUGCCAUUAAUUUUGCCUUUUUUUUUCACUAUUGCAUAAAUUACAAUAGUCAAAAUGUGCUUUUUACUAUUUUGUCUUGCUUUUCAAAGAAAAAAAAAAUCCGUAUUCUACUCCCUUACGUCUCGCAACGUGACAGAAUACUCCGGAACAGAAACAAAACAAACGCAUGUGUCCGGAGUGAACAAUGUCACGGUUGUCAACAUCCGAAGAUCAUGCACUCGCUGAGCACUCAUGCACGCGCACGCCCUCUCAUCUCUCGGAGCGCGCUGCCGGAAGUGGAGGUCGUGACAUUCGUGCUGCUCACUCUGGUUGCUAGGCUAUUUGGUCGCGUCAUCAAACACGUCAUUGUUCAGUCAAAUUUAUUCGGCCUUUUCGCUUACACCGAAAGGGCUUUUUUUGCUACUUUUGCUAAAUUAUUCGGCCGCUGAACAUUCGGUGCAUCCCUAGUAGGAAGAGCUGACCACUCGAGGCGAUAUUUAUAUAUAUAUAUAUAAUAUGUAUGUAUGUAUAUGUGUAUGUGUGUGCAAAAUAUAUAUGUAUGUGUGUUAAAAAAAAAAAAUAAAAUAAAAAAAUAUUAUGAAUAAAAAAAAAAAAUAUAUAUAUAUAUAUAUAUAUAUAGAACCAAUUAAAUCCAAUCCAUAUAGCUAGAAAUGCAAUAGGGCAAUGUUAGUCAUAUGUUGAUAAUAGUUUUGCUUUGUAACAUACCUUUCUUUUAUGCUAGUGAGAUGCUCAGCUCUUGCUUACCAGUGUCUAUGGUAUUCAGUUUUUUUCUUUGCUACUUAGUAACCUUUAGAAAACAGGUUGUAAUAAAGUAAGAAAUGUUUUCUCAUGAAAUGAACUAUAUAAUAAAAUAUUAACAUAAUAUAACUAGAUAAUAAUAAUAAUAAUAAUAAUAAUAACAAUAUAACUAGAUAAUAAUUUUAUAAUAAUAUAAAAUAUAGACAUUCAAAUAUCAAUUGAAAUUCAAGGAAAACACAUUUUAUUUUUUUAGAAAAAUAUGUUUCAGAUUAAACUGUAAUAAAGAAUGGUAUCUAAAUUAAUCAUCAAUUGUGUAUAAAAGCACAAUGAGCCAGUGGAAAACAUCUAUCACAGACGGUGGAACUGCAUAACGCUGACACUUUGACACUUUUUUUUUUCUGUUCAAAUUUUCUAGUUCAUUCAGAUUGUACAGGCAUCAUCCCACCAAAAUCUAUUAUAAAAUUUGUAAUAAAAAUCUAGAUUCAUUGAUGGUUUCAUUUUAAUUGUUUUCUUAAUGUCACACCACAUGACAGCCAUAUUUGUCAACUGUAGAGCUUCAAAGUGUGAAUGGUUUCCAAAUUUGGAAAUAUUGGAAACCUUUAUAGAUAUUUCCCAAAAGUCUCAAAAUGAUCAUUUCAUUAUGGUCCUACCAGAUGAUAUUUGGUAAAAUGAACACCUUUCGUUAGUAAAUUAUGAAAAGAAUAGGAAUGCAAAUGUCCUGCUCAGUAAUGCAAACACUUUUGAAAUUGACACAUGCCUAAACAGAAAAUAUGAAUGUAUUUAGAGCAGUGGUCACCAACCUUUUUAAGCCCAAGAUCCCUGACAUUGACCUUAAUGAAAGGCAAGAUCUUGUUAUCAAAAAAUUGAUAGAAAAAGACAGCCCAGAUUGAACUUCCAAGUUGAGGC